UCAAAGAUGUUGGUCCCUCUGUUGAUGCAAGUUCACAUCAGCAGAGAGGAAAGUCUCCUGAACCCAGAUGUUUGUCCAUGAAGAGUGAUCGGUCUAAUGAUCGAUAUAUUAACUUCCAAGAUGGACGCCGUUCUAAUGACCCAGAAGAGGACCAGGAGAGCUCAGAGGUUCCCACAGGUCCGUCU